AUUGAACGCUGGCGGCAGGCUUAACACAUGCAAGUCGAACGAGUGGCGGACGGGUGAGUAAUGCUUGGGAAUCUAGAUUAUGGAGGGGGAUAACUACGGGAAACUGUAGCUAAUACCGCGUACAAUAGGCUGAGCCCACGUGGGAUUAGGUAGUUGGUGAGGUAAAGGCUCACCAAGAUGACGAUCUCUAGCUGGGUUGAGAGGAUGACCUGCCCAACGUGGACUGAGAAACGGCCCAGACUCCUCCGGGGGGCAGCCGUGGGGAAUAUUGCGAAAUGGGGGCAACCUGACGCAGCCAUGCCGCGUGAAUGAAGAAGGUCUUCGGGUUGUAAAGUUCUUUCGGUAGCGAGGCGUUAACUACAGAAGAAGCACCGGCUAACUCCGUGCCAGCCGCCGCGGUAAUAC
rnacentral:rRNA from 1 species